ACAGGUGCGGCCCUAAAAAGAUAAAUAAAUAAACAGUUGACCCUAAUAACACAAGUUUAAACUACACAGUUCCACUUACAUGUGGAUUUUUUUUUUUCAAUACUAAGUACUACAGCGCUACACGAUCCACAGUUGGUUGAAUCCAUGGAUACAGAACCACAUAAUGCGUUAUCGCAGAUAAGAACGAGGCACCGGGCUCAAACCCAGGCCGGGAUGGCGCCCUGAACAUGCACUUCUGGCAGGCCCCCUGACGCCGUGAAGCUCUGGCGUCACGUCUGAGGACCAUUUGGAAGCAGGGCCUUCCUCUGACUGGGAGCCUUCUGCAGGGUCUGGCUCUCACAGGUCCUCUCCGCACCCGGCUGCGCCUCCGGACUAAACACAUCACCACCCUCAGGCCUUCGGAGAGAAGCCGCCGGGACCGGAGCCAGCCUGUGCGCCCGGGUAGGUUCCGAGUGCGCUCCGACUCCGCUUUUGCGUUCCGGCCGCGGGCCCCCAGGGUGCGCGGCAGGAGGUGGACACCAGGGGCAGCCCUGCGCUGGUCCUGCGGGGCGCGCUUCCGGCCGCGCAGGCGCAGAAGGCCGCGUGCGGGGCCGCUUGAUGGGGCCGCAGAAAAGAAAAAAGAUCCUACUCGCUGUGAAAAAUGGAUUGGAAAAGAGAAAGCAGUGGGAGAGUGUGUAGGAAAGUGUUGCAGAAGCCCAGGUAGGAGAUGUCUAGACCAGGGCUGGGGGUGGAGGUGGCAGAGAGAGGAAGCGGGGUGUGAGCAGAUUUGGGAGGGAGGAAUCAAGCCACAUGGAUUUGUGCCUAUCACCAUGGGGACUUGUGACAGGAGAGAGAAGUCAGUUGUGGGCAUCCCAGGUCUUGAGGGGCCAGCUGAGUGAAGUGUAGGAAGGGCCACAGAGCAGAUUUGAAGCCAUGAGCGUGGACUUGGCCUUCAGAGCCAUGUGUGUGGUGAGACCACCUAGAGAGCAUGGUAUGGAAGGGGGCCCUCGGCACCUGGGGGGAUGCCAUCGCCUGAGGCAGGCUUGCCGGCUGCUGACCUCCACCCAUAUUUAU
rnacentral:lncRNA from 1 species